UACAGAGGUGGCAAGCGUUGUUCGGAAUUACUGGGCGUAAAGGGCGCGUAGGCGGCCUUCUAAGUCAGACGUGAAAUCCCCCGGCUUAACCUGGGAACUGCGUCUGAUACUGGAGGGCUUGAGUGCGGGAGAGGGAUGUGGAAUUCCAGGUGUAGCGGUGAAAUGCGUAGAUAUCUGGAGGAACACCGGUGGCGAAGGCGACGUCCUGGACCGGCAUUGACGCUGAGGCGCGAAAGCCAGGGGAGCAAACAGG
rnacentral:rRNA from 1 species